GUAUGUAGUCUAGUGGUUAGGUUUGCGGCUCUUACUUGCAAGGCCGGGGUUUGAUUCCCUGCCAGUGCC